AUACGGAGGGUGCAAGCGUUAUCCGGAAUUACUGGGUUUAAAGGGUGCGUAGGCGGCCGCAUAAGUCAGAGGUGAAAUGUCUCCGCUCAACGGAGGCCUUGCCUAUGAUACUGUGCGGCUUGAAUUAGGUUGAGGUUAGCGGAAUGUGGCAUGUAGCGGUGAAAUGCAUAGAUAUGCCAUAGAACACCAAUUGCGAAGGCAGCUGACUAGACCUUGAUUGACGCUGAGGCACGAAAGCGUGGGGAGCGAACAGGAUUAGAUACCCGAGUAGUCC
rnacentral:rRNA from 1 species